rnacentral:tRNA from 1 species
GCUGGUGUGGCUCAGUUGGUUAGAGCAUCAUCCUGUGUAGCAGAAGGUCCUAGGUUUGAUUCCUGGUCAUGGCA